AGUGAACGCUGGCGGUAGGCCUAACACAUGCAAGUCGAACGGCAGCACAGUAAGAGCUUGCUCUUACGGGUGGCGAGUGGCGGACGGGUGAGGAAUACAUCGGAAUCUACUUUUUCGUGGGGGAUAACGUAGGGAAACUUACGCUAAUACCGCAUACGACCUACGGGUGAAAGCAGGGGAUCUUCGGACCUUGCACGAUUGAAUGAGCCGAUGUCGGAUUAGCUAGUUGGCGGGGUAAAGGCCCACCAAGGCGACGAUCCGUAGCUGGUCUGAGAGGAUGAUCAGCCACACUGGAACGGGACCCCGGCCCAGCCCCCUCCGGGGGGCAGCAGUGGGGAUUUUUGGACAAGGGGCGCAAGCCUGAUCCACCCCUACCGCGUGGGUAAAGACGGCCUUCGGUUUGUAAAGCCCUUUUGUUGGGAAAAAAAAGCAGCAGUUUAGUCCCCCGCUGUUCUGACGGUCCCAAAAAAAUAAGCCCCGGCUAACUUCGUG
rnacentral:rRNA from 1 species